rnacentral:lncRNA from 1 species
CCCAUGGUGAGCAGAGUUGUGCUGCUUUUCCUGCAGGAAGUGGUCUCACACAGGGAGAUCCUAGCACAGAUACCCUAGGAACAGGAACAGAUUUCCUUUGAUUGCCACUUCUUGCCUUUCCGGAUGAAUCAGAAAAUAAUUUGAUUGGACGAGUUAAGCACUUAGCCUGUGCCUGAUGCAUGCUGAGAUUUCAGUCUUCAUGAACUCAGAUGGCAUAAGCCACAAGCUCUCAUGGCUGGUCCCUUCCAGGGCUCAAGGCUGGGAAACUAUGAGGUCUGAGUAUGUCAUCCAGUUACAUGGGAGCACACAGACAAGUGGAAGAUACUCUGGCUGUCAGUAUACAGAGGGUGUCAUCAAGAGCUUCGGAGUGAGGAGCAGGGGAGCCCCAGACCCAGGAAGUUGCUGUUCUGGAGAGUGCUGGUGGAGGCCCUGGGCCACAGUGUCAGGAACAGCCGCAGAGCUGAUGAUCAGCUCAUGCCUGGCACAGAUUAAAGCACACCUUCUCAUCGUUCUUCUUCUUUUAAAAUAAAAAUACUGUAUUUACUUAGAAGCAUUCAGAAUGUCAGCAAAACUAUGUCUUUUUUUUUUGCAAUUACAGAAUGAUGUUCAGUUAUUAAUUAUUUCAUAUAAGGUGCAUCAGAUAAAACCAAAGAUGAAGCGACU